AUGAGCUCACCCAAAACUCUAGUUCUUCGCAACAUUGAGAGGGCACAGGACACCCAGAAGAAGACCUUUGGAACACAGAAAAGGAAGCAGCUCAAAUAUGUUUUGGACUAAAACCGACCUCCAGGAGAACUCCUAGUGAAGGAAGACAAUAUCUGCCUGACUUGGGAAGACUUUUGGAGCCUGGGUUUGGAACAGUCCAUGGAAUCUCAGAUUGGGAAUGCUUGUCUGAAGAUUGUGGGGGAAGCUGCACAAAGACAUGGAAAAGAUGUUCACAUUGCUGACCUCUACGUCGUGGCCACCUGGAAGGAUCCACAAGUCAACCUGCUGCGUUGCUUGCCGGUACGUUUUUCGUUGAUUUUUCUCCUGUGUGUGCAUUUUUACUAAUUUGUACCAGGGUUCCCCAUUUGUGGUUCCCCCACAUAUUGGUUCAUGUUCUGAUACCCGUUUUCAUUUGUGACAGUUUUUGCUAACUCUUGUGUUAUUGGUUAUCACCGAUUUCUUUUUAUUGUUUGUUUAAUUUCUUUUGCCCUCUGUGGCCUGGCCUCGGUGGAGUUCUUUGUUACUGCGUACUAGCCAAGAAGUCAUAAUGAGCUGUGUUUUGUUUAAUGUUGUUUAAUUUAGUUCCUUAAAUUACAUUUAUGAAAUAAAUCUACCUGUAUCUAUUGCUCAUGUUCUUGAAAUAUGUUGUUUGUUUUCAGGAUUGUUACAGUAAACCUGUCAAAAUUAUAAAGUAGUCCUGCGUAAUUUGAUAUGGAUAUAUACAAAUGAGUGUAGUCAAAUCUCAAUUUAACAAAUGGUUAACCUAAGAAUACCCAUUUAAAAAUAUUGUCAAACAUUAAUUUUGCAACACUGUUAAUUUUGUGGUUACAAAGAAGAAAGUUAAUUCAAGUCAAAGUGGCAAACCAAAAAAAAUCUAAUACAAAAAUAGAAAGUAAAGCGAUUUUAGGUGAUGACAUUGCCACAUUGUCUUUAGUGCAAGAAUAUAUCAUAUUUUAUUAUUAGAAAAACAUUCCUAGAAUAUGUAGUAAAAAUUAAAAAUAUCUGCUGUAUUAUGAUGGUGCAUUUUCAGCUUUCAUAUCAAAAUAUAGCCUAUUGUGUAUAUAAAUAAAAAUUGUAAUAUGUCACGUGAAAAUUAAUGAGCCAGAUUAAGUGUUUACUGACAAUUGACAGUGAUAGCGGAGAUCAUCAUCACUAUUCCAACAAUCCUCUCCACACAGACAAGCAUAAACACACUCGACUAUCACUAAAUCAAAUUUCACACGCAUUUAUAAUGACGCUAAUUCAGUUUACAAUACGGAUCAUUCGCUCGGUCAGCAGGGUGCGGUAUCCUCGUACACUGGGAGUAAACUGCCAUUAAACAAAACAGAAGAAGAAGAAAACAUCUGCACAUGCGCAGUAAGGAUCGGGGAGUCCUGAUCCGUAACUAUCUUUUUAUUUUUCGUUUUUGUCUAAAUUAUAUUGAAAUGUUUCAUUAUUGGAAACAUUUUAAGAGGAACUUAUUAUUGUUAACAUCUUAACAGAUACUCUGACCCGUAACUCUCGUAAAACGCUUCGACCGGAAGUAGACACCUUUCGCGCAUGCGGGGUACUUAUCGGGUUUCCGGUACGGAUCGGGCAGUGACAUUGGCCGUUUAUCAAUGCCCAAGUACGCGAGUACGUACUCGCGUUCUC